CUACGGGGCGCUGCAGUGGGGAAUCUUAGACAAUGGGGGCAACCCUGAUCUAGCCAUGCCGCGUGAGUGACGAAGGCCUUAGGGUCGUAAAGCUCUUUCGCCUGUGAUGAUAAUGACAGUAGCAGGUAAAGAAACCCCGGCUAACUCCGUGCCAGCAGCCGCGGUAAUACGGAGGGGGUUAGCGUUGUUCGGAAUUACUGGGCGUAAAGCGCGCGUAGGCGGAUUAGAAAGUUGGGGGUGAAAUCCCGGGGCUCAACCUCGGAACUGCCUCCAAAACUGCUAGUCUAGAGUUCGAGAGAGGUGAGUGGAAUUCCGAGUGUAGGGGUGAAAUUCGUAGAUAUUCGGAGGAACACCAGUGGCGAAGGCGGCUCACUGGCUCGAUACUGACGCUGAGGUGCGAAAGUGUGGGGAGCAAACAGGAUUAGAUACCCUGGUAGUC
rnacentral:rRNA from 1 species